UACGAAGGGGGCUAGCGUUGCUCGGAAUUACUGGGCGUAAAGCGCACGUAGGCGGCUUUCUAAGUCGGGGGUGAAAUCCUGGAGCUCAACUCCAGAACUGCCUUUGAUACUGGCGACCUUGAGUCCGGGAGAGGUGAGUGGAACUGCGAGUGUAGAGGUGAAAUUCGUAGAUAUUCGCAAGAACACCAGUGGCGAAGGCGGCUCACUGGCCCGGUACUGACGCUGAGGUGCGAAAGCGUGGGGAGCAAACAGG
rnacentral:rRNA from 1 species